GACGAACGCUGGCGGCGUGCUUAACACAUGCAAGUCGAACGGAAAGGCCCUGCUUUUGUGGGGUGCUCGAGUGGCGAACGGGUGAGUAACACGUGAGUAACCUGCCCUUGACUUUGGGAUAACUUCAGGAAACUGGGGCUAAUACCGGAUAGGAGCUCCUGCUGCAUGGUGGGGGUUGGAAAGUUUCGGCGGUUGGGGAUGGACUCGCGGCUUAUCAGCUUGUUGGUGGGGUAGUGGCUUACCAAGGCUUUGACGGGUAGCCGGCCUGAGAGGGUGACCGGCCACAUUGGGACUGAGCUACGGCCCAGCCUCCUACGGGAGGCAGCAGUGGGGAAUUUUGCACAAUGGGCGGAAGCCUGAUGCAGCAACGCCGCGUGCGGGAUGACGGCCUUCGGGUUUUAAACCGCUUUCGCCUGUGACGAAGCGUGAGUGACGGUAAUGGGUAAAGAAGCACCGGCUAACUACGUG
rnacentral:rRNA from 1 species